GCUUCUCACGUUAGCUUCGGUUUCGUUCCGGAGUUGUGAGGAUUCGUUCGUCUACGUCCGUUUGUCUUCUUCAUGGACUCGUUCUUCUUCCUUGCGGGAUUUCAGGCAAGAUGAUCAUACCCUCGAAAUCACCACUAUCUUUGCUAUGCUAGUUUGCUCGCUCUUUUGCUAUGCCAAUGCUACGAUGCCUACCAUUUGCUUGUCAGCCUCCCAAAUUGCCAUGUCAAACCUCUAACCCAUCAUGUCCUAGCAAACCGUUGAUUGGCUAUGUUACCGCUUUGCUUAGCCCCUCUUAUAGCAUUGUUAGUUGCAGGUGAAGAUUGAAGUUUGUUCCUUGUUGGAACAUGGAGAUGUUGUUCCUUGUUGGAACAUGUUUACUUGUUGGGAUAUCACAAUAUAUCUUACUUAAUUAAUGCAUCUAUAUACUUGGUAAAGGGUGGAAGGCUCGGCCUUAUGCCUGGUGUUUUGUUCCACUCUUGCCGCCCUAGUUUCCGUCAUAUUGGUGUUAUGUUCCCGGAUUUUGCGUCCCUUACGCGGUUGGGCUAUAAUGGGAACCCCUUGACAGUUCGCCUUAAGUAAAGCUCUUCCAGCAAUGCCCAACCUUGGUUUUACCAUUUGCCACCUAGCCUUUUCUUUCCCUUGGGUUCUGCAGACUCAAGGGUCAUCAUUAUUUUACACCCCCCCCCCCGGGCCAGUGCUCCUCUGAGUGUUGGUCCGAACUGGGCAGCCUGCGGGGCCACCUCGAGGGAACUUGAGGGUUGGUUUUACUCGUAGCUUGACCUAUCUGAGUGUGCCCUGAGAAAGAGAUAUGUGCAGCUCCUAUCGGGAUUUGUCGGCACAUUCGGGCGGUGUUGCUGGUUUAGUUUUACCCUGUCGAAAUGUCUUGUUGUACCGGGAUACCGAGUAUGAUCAAAACGUCUCGGGUGGAGGUCUAUUCCUUCGUUGACCGUGAGAGCUUGUGAUGGGCUAAGUUGGGACACCCCUGCAGGGUAUUAUCUUUCGAAAGCCGUGCCCGCGGUUAUGGGCAGAUGGGAAUUUGUUAACGUCCGGUUGUAGAAAACCCGAAGUUGACCUUAAUUAAAAUACAUCAACUGUGUGUGUAACCGUGAUGGUCUCUUUCCGGCGGAGUCCGGGAAGUGAACACGGUGUUGGAGUUAUGCUUGACGUAGGUUGCUAUAGGAUCACUUCUUGAUCAUACUUUUAUCGACCGUGCUUUGCCUUCUCUUCUCGCUCUCAUUUGCGUAUGUUAGCCACCAUAUAUGCUAGUCGCUUGCUGCAGCUCCACCUCAUUACUCCAUCCUUCCUAUAAGCUUAAAUAGUCUUGAUCUCGCGGGUGCGAGAUUGCUGAGUCCCCGUGGCUCACAGAUACUUCCAAAAUCAGUUUGCAGGUGCCUAUGUUACCGUGCAGAUGACGCAACCAAGCUCAAGGAGGAGCUCGAUGAAGAUCUUGCCCUUUGUGUUGUUUCGUUCUAGUUGAUCAGUAGUGGAGCCUAGUUGGGGUCGAUCGGGGACCUUU
rnacentral:lncRNA from 1 species